AUGCAAAUGAACAGGAAGACUUUUGAGUUUGAGAGUGGAAACUGUUGCAUCUCAUCCUGUUCAAGACACUUACUACAACAUAUCUUGCAGGUGCUCAACAGGAAAUCUGGUGUCUUAUUUUCAGUCGAGCUGAAAGCCAUGAAACUCAUUCUGCGGUGGAUUUUUUGCUUCAGUUUAGGUUUUGUCACUGAUUGCCAAGUGAAUCGUUAUGGAUUGAAAGGAAGCUCAAUCCGUCUGAGCAUCAGUCCCAGAAAUCAGUCACUAACUAAUGUUGGAUGGCAACGAUUCAACAGGAAAGAGGUGCUUACAGACGCAAAAGAAGUUUCCCCUCAUUUUAAGAAAAGAAUGAUCCUAAACGUCUCAGACUGGUCUUUGACCAUACACAACCUUGAGGAAAAUGACAGUGGACUGUAUGAAGCCAUUAAGAAGUGGGAGGUUGAACCUCUGGCUGCAUUCACACUUACAGUGGAGAACACUGUCUCUAAGCCUGUAAUCAGAGUGGAUCAACAUGACUUUAAUUCGUCUGCUGAAGUGUGUCGGGCUGCAGUGAACUGUUCAGCUGAUGGCAGCUGGGCCACGUUUGACUGCCACCAAAAUGUCUGUACAAAGAUACAAUCCUCUCCAUUCUCCAUUAACAUCACUGUCACUGCACUGGACAGCAGUGGCAUCAAAUGCAACGUCAACAACAACGUGAGCAUGAAUCAUUCUCAGACUCCCUUUACGUGCCAUGAAAAGCAGAAAAGUGAUUAUCGUUUUCUCCCAUCGCUCAUCUUCUGGAUCGUUGGCACCGUUUGUGGUGGUGUUUUGUUGGGUUUGGUUAUGGGUGGGAUUGUAGCAUUUGUCAAGAGAAGAAAAUGUUCAAAAGUUCAUCCACAGUCCAGUCGUGUUGUGAUUGAACAGCAUCAUGAAACAAUUUACUGCACCGUGGAAAAGCCGGCCACAUCCCAGACACAUCCAGGAAACAACACUGUCAGCAACAAAGUAGAAACCAUCUACGACACUCCAUCACGACAUACCAAGGCUUGUCAAGUAGACAGUGUGGAGGUGAUGAGAGACAAUCAGGAGCAACAGCAAUCUGGACAAGACAGAACUAUUCAAGUAAAAGCUACAGUUCACCAGGCAGCAGAACCCGAUUCAGAUCCAAUAAACACUGUUUACUGUAAACUGGGAGAGAUAUGACACAAACACAUACUGAGACGUCACUUCAGUGGAGAUUUAAAU
ensembl:lncRNA